GGCUUGAAACUUGAAAUUGUUUGAUUGUGAUCGUCCAUUCUCUGCCUGUCCAAUACACUGCCAGACUUUUGUUUUGACUUGUAGGCUUGAAUGCUCUUAUAAGGCAUAAUUUUUGUUUGUAUAUCAGAGGUUAUGCUUGGCCUACAUUCUGCUUGUAUCAUGUCAUUGUCACUUAAUUCCAAUGCUUAUUAUAUUGUCGAAUGAUCGUUAAAAUUAUCAUGUUGGUCAGUGUUGUUGUGGAGCAUCACUAAACUAUUCGGCAACAAGUUGUCUAUUUUAUUAUAAACCUUUCUUUAAGUGAUCAUCAAGUUGCUCAGAAGCUAUAUAUUUAUUAUACUUUCUAGACAGGCUGGCCCAGACUUAAAAAAAGGAUAAACAUCUCACACCGUGCAGCUGGCUAUUAGUUUAUAGUUCACAUCAAGAAUCCUAUGCUUCUUGUUUUGUUAUAAAUCCUAAUUAUCUUUUAUCAAUGAUUUUCAUUGUUAGAAUAUCCUCCUUGUUCAAUUGUUUUUUCUAAAUGAACUUGCUGGUACAACCAAUUUAUUCCUACAUGUGGAUUCAUUCUUGAAAGCAUUCUUACAGUUUAUUUUCUGAUACUAUCUGAUUCAGGUAAAGUGAAACUUUUCAGAAAAAGAUCUCAGUGCUGGAUCAAUGAACAAUGAAUGUUGAAUUGAGCUCUGGAUGCUGUCUGAUAAAGCAAGAAGAAGAUGAUGCUGUUGGACUUCACGUGACAUAUCAUUGAUUUCAACUCUUUUCCCUGGUUAUUGAACAAAUCAUUUGUCCAUUCCUUGUUGAAACAGUCUAUUAGUAUACAGGUCGCUGAUAGAGUUUUUCAUCAAGUGGUGAGAGUUCGAUUCUCGGCUGAUGGUACAUUUCUGGGAGAUAUGAAUGGUGGUUGUGUGCGGAUAGUUCCAGCGUUAUAUGUAUAUGGGUCCUAUUUCUACUUGUUUCACCGAGAUUUGUGUAUGUUUGUAACGGUUUAGCAGGAUUUUUGGGCUGUUUGUUCUUUGUCAAAAAAACACGAAUACUUUAGACCUCUCUUACAUAUGAUCAACCUACUAAGAUCCGUGAGAAUUAUUAUCAA